rnacentral:rRNA from 1 species
GAUGAACGCUGGCGGCGUGCCUAAUACAUGCAAGUCGAGCGAACAGACGAGGAGCUUGCUCCUCUGACGUUAGCGGCGGACGGGUGAGUAACACGUGGAUAACCUACCUAUAAGACUGGGAUAACUUCGGGAAACCGGAGCUAAAACCGGAUAAUAUAUUGAACCGCAUGGUUCAAUAGUGAAAGACGGUUUUGCUGUCACUUAUAGAUGGAUCCGCGCCGCAUUAGCUAGUUGGUAAGGUAACGGCUUACCAAGGCAACGAUGCGUAGCCGACCUGAGAGGGUGAUCGGCCACACUGGAACUGAGACACGGUCCAGACUCCUACGGGAGGCAGCAGUAGGGAAUCUUCCGCAAAGGGCGAAAGCUUGACGGAGCAACGCCGCGUGAGUGAUGAAGGUCUUCGGAUCGUAAAACUCUGUUAUUAGGGAAGAACAAAUGUGUAAGUAACUAUGCACGUCUUGACGGUACCUAAUCAGAAAGCCACGGCUAACUACGUG